rnacentral:misc_RNA from 1 species
CACUGGUCUUUUUGUCCUUUCGUUCUUUUUCAGGCGCUGUAGGGAAACAGAGGUAAGAAUUUGCUGCCAGUAGGAUUGUGUCGACGUAAUGUACCAGAUGUGGUUUCAUCUUAACAAAAAAUUCCAAUCAAAACUGAUGAAAUUCUAAGCGUUUUAUAAUUAUUUCUAUGCUUUCUCAAUUGUAGGACUUAUGAAGAUGGAAGAGGUGUUUGCUACAAUGAAACAGGAUUAGAAGAUAUCGAACCAAGUCUACCCGAUUCAAGAAAACUCACCCAGCCUCCUGCGGAAUACAUGGAUCUCAUAGAAGUCAACAAAGAUAAUAGAAAAGCACAAAGAACAGCUCCAGGUGCUGAUUAUGUGCCUCUUCAUCCGUUAACACGCUGCUGGGAAGUUCCAAGACAUCACGUGACCAUAGAAAAAAUUAUUGGUAAAGGUGCUUUUGGUCAGGUUGCCAAGGGAACAGCGGUAGGACUUAGAGGGAGUCCUGAAACGACUACAGUGGCUAUUAAAAUGCUGAAAACAAACGCUACUGAAUCGGACAAGAGAGAUUUGAUGUAAGAACUUGACACAAUGAAGCAGCUGAAACCACAUUCUUACGUCAUUAAACUUCUGGGAUGUGUUACAAAAUCUGGUAUGCUUUGGUUAUGCGGGUCUAAUUUUAUUGUGCACAUUUUGCUUA